UACGUAGGGUGCAAGCGUUGUCCGGAAUUAUUGGGCGUAAAGAGCUCGUAGGCGGUCUGUCGCGUCUGGUGUGAAAAUCCAGGGCUUAACCCUGGACCUGCAUCGGGUACGGGCAGACUAGAGUGCGGUAGGGGAGAUCGGAAUUCCCGGUGUAGCGGUGAAAUGCGCAGAUAUCGGGAAGAACACCCGUGGCGAAGGCGGCUCUCUCGGAACGCAACUGACGCUGAGACGGCGAAAGCGUGGGGAGCAAACAGGG
rnacentral:rRNA from 1 species